GGGGGGGGGGGGGGGGGGGGGGGGGGGGGGCGGGGGGGGCGGGGGCGUGGGGGCUGGGGGCGCACGGGGGCGGGACGCGUGGGGACCGGCCCUUAGGUUCGGAAUAACUCCCCGGACGGGGGUCUAAGCCCGGAUGCGGUCUUCGGCGCAAAGAGUUCUCGCCUUUGGAUGGGCCCGCGUUGGUGUAGCUCGUUGGUAGGGUAAAAGCCUACCAAGGCGACGAUCCAUAGCUGGUCUGAGAGGAUGAUCAGCCACACUGGGACUGAGACACGGCCCAGACUCCUACGGGAGGCAGCAGUGGGGAAUAUUGGACCAUGGGCGAAAGCCUGAUCCAGCAAUGCCGCGUGAGUGAUGAAGGCCGUAGGGUUGUAAAGCUCUUUUACCCGGGAUGAUAAUGACAGUACCGGGAGAAUAAGCUCCGGCUAACUCCGUG
rnacentral:rRNA from 1 species